AUAACUGAUGCAUAUGGAAACACAGCUAAAAAUAGUGAACAGACUCUAAGAUCACCAUAUAACGAUCUAGGGGCACCCAGGUGGCUCAGUCGGUUGGGUGUCUGACUCUUGAUUUUGGCUCAGGUCAUGAUCUCAGGAUCAUGGGAUCAUGUCACAGGAUCAAGCCCCGGAGCUCUUUCCAGAGGACCCGACUAAAGACACUUGGUUACAGCAAUGGUUUCCGGGAAGUAGACUCUGACAUGGGAUCUUGGAGAUAGAUUGUCCACUGGCCGGCUGGCAAUGAGGACCCCACCAAGGGUGCUGCGUUCCUGCUCCUGAGCCUGGCUGUAAGGCUGAGACCCGAGUGGAGAGCCGCCCUCGAGAUCCCUCAUGUCUUCUACACCUUUCUGUGCCCCUCAGAACCGAACAUCAAUUUUAUGGAGGAACAGUAAGUGGUCCCAUAUUGAGGCAGCCUGCACAGGUGAGUCUGUGCCCUCUGUCACGGUUGUAAACUAACACAUUACAUAUUCAUGCACAGAGGGACUGGGGAGGACACCCCACUCCAGAGCGUGA